ACGGCCGCGGCAUAAAACCGUGCAAAGGUAGCACAAUCACUUGUCCUUUAAAUGAGGACCCGUAUGAAAGGCAACAUGAGAGGAGAUCUGUCUCCUAAGAUAAGCCAACGAAAUUGAAAAGCCAGUACAAAAGCUGGCAUUUACUAGCAAGACAAAAAGACCCCGUGGAACUUUUAACAAACCACUAACCCACGAAAUUUAGUAACUGUUUCGGUUGGGACAACCUUAGAAAAACAAAACUUCUUAUUUUUAAAAGACUGACAAGUCUCAUAUAUCAUUAGAUCCAGUUAAACUGAUUAAUGAAACAAGCUACCCCGGGGAUAACAGCGCCACCUUCUAGAAAAGUUCAUAUUAACAAGAAGACCUACGACCUCGAUGUUGGAUCAGGAUGCCCAGACGGUGCAGCAGCUGUCAAAGGUUCGUUUGUUCAACGAUCAAAAUCCU
rnacentral:rRNA from 1 species